rnacentral:rRNA from 1 species
AGCGAACGCUGGCGGCAGGCUUAACACAUGCAAGUCGAGCGGGCCCUUCGGGGUCAGCGGCAGACGGGUGUGUCACACGUGGGAACGUACCCUUUGGUUCGGAAUACCGCUGGGACACUGGCGCUAAUAUAGGAUACGCUCUUUUGGGGCCAGGCUUGCUGCAGAAGGAUAGGCCCUGGUCUGAUUAGCUUGUUGGUGGGGUAAUGGCCUACCAAGGAGACGAUCAGUAGCUGGGCAGAGAGAAUGAUCAGCCACACUGAGACUGAGACGCGGCCCAGACUCCUGCGGGAGGCAGCAGUGGCGAAUAUUGGACAAUGGGCGCAGUGCUGAUCCAGCCAUGCCGCGUGAGUGAUGAAGUCCUUAGAGAUGUAAAGCUCUUUUGUCCGGGACGAUAAUGACGGUACCGAAAGAAUAAGCCCCGGCUAACUUCGUG